rnacentral:lncRNA from 1 species
CAGCAUCGUCAGCGUUGGAGUAUCUAAUAUGAUAGCGGAGACAUAAACCACAACACCGCAGCGGAUCUGUGCGUCCUAGGCCCACAAAACCACAGUGAAGAUUUGGAUGACGGUGGACAUUUUCUACACCAGGUUCCCAUUCAGAUGCAAGACGUAUCAGCUUGGACCUGGCCCAUGUAGGACCAAGUGGAGGACUGGGUGAAGGGACAUAGCCCGC